GGGAAUUCCGCUCGUUGGUCGGCCAAGGCUGGCGCAAGCCGAGGCGACCGGUCGGGGCUUCAGGCUAGUCUGCUCCCGGGAUGAUCAUCGGGUUAGCCUGGCAUCCGAGGGCCGAGCCUCGGGGAAUUCCGCUCGUUGGUCGCGCGCCUGUCGCUUGCCGCUCGACGGGAUUUCUCCGUGGCCAGCUACGAUCAUAUUUCUCCUAUUCUCCAAGCGUCGCCUGGGGAA
rnacentral:lncRNA from 1 species